GAGUUUGAUCAUGGCUCAGGAUGAACGCUAGCGGUAUGCUUAACACAUGCAAGUCGUACGGGAGUUUUUAACUCAAGUGGCGGACGGGUGAGUAACACGUGAGAAUUUACCUUUAGGAGGGGGAUAACAAUUGGAAACGAUUGCUAAUACCCAUAUGCUUUUUUAAGUGAAACGGAUUUAUUCGCCUAAAGAAAAGCUCGCGGCUGAUUAGCUAGUUGGUAAGGUAAUGGCUUACCAAGGCGACGAUCAGUAUCUGGUUUGAGAGGAUGAUCAGACACACUGGAACUGAGACACGGUCCAGACUCCUACGGGAGGCAGCAGUGGGGAAUUUUCCGCAAUGGGCGAAAGCCUGACGGAGCAAUACCGCGUGAGGGAAGACUGCCUAUGGGUUGUAAACCUCUUUUUUCAGGGAGGAAUAAAAUGACGUGUACCUGAAGAAUAAGCAUCGGCUAACUCCGUG
rnacentral:rRNA from 1 species